rnacentral:lncRNA from 1 species
GGUGGUAAUGCAAAGAAGCUGGCCAGUGCAGUGGUGGAAUAUCAUUACAUUAUCUGUGAUAAGAAGAAUGCUUUCAGGACAACUAUAGUGGAGUCAUGAGGCUCAUCUCCACCGUUAGAUGAGGAGCUGUUGUGUAAUCCAUACGAUGAUGCCAUGGUUAUUAGUGCUUAAAUUAUGAAGAGCAUGGAGAGAUGAGAGACCUUGAUGAGAUCAUAGAGGAGGGAGCUACAAAAUACCAAGAGCAUAUGCUCAUGGAUGAAGAUGACUCAUUGGGUGAUGAAUUAGCGGUUGUAUCUCAUGUACGCCAAAACAAUGCAACAUCACAAAACUCAUUACCAGUGGAUGAAUCCAUUGAUUUGGGGGAAAAUAAUCCAAAUAUGUUGAUGAAUGAGAAUGAUGGGAGCAGUAUAGCUCAUGUUC